AGAUAUAAUACUUAUUUCAUGAUUGCUCUGUGUAUGUGUGACCUUAAUCAUUUGAGGUUGUGUGUUGAUUUCACCUCUGAAUAUUUCCUCUUAUAGGUCCAUCAUCCUUGCAUGCGCUACACACUCAAAAGCAUUGAUAAAUGCUGAAUUUAAAAGAAUCACUACUGUCUUAUGUUCCUGCGUGUCACCUGGACCUCCAAUCCAAAAACCUGACGAAACUCUUCUAUCAGAAAGGAGGACAGCUAGCAAAAAGACUUCAAACAAUGAAUGAUCAAAUGACAGAAGGCAUGGAUGAAGUCAGCAUCAGUGAGGUCAUUUGAAGACACCACUGUUGGGAUUUGUGCUCUCAAACAACAUGCUUCUUGUGAUGAAGAAGAGGAUCUUUGUUUAGUCCUGGAAGGCAUGAAGGUGUUGCAACAUCGUGCCAUGUUGUUUGAGCUGA